rnacentral:rRNA from 1 species
AACGAACGCUGGCGGCGGCCUAACACAUGCAAGUCGAGCGAGGACUUCGGUCCUAGCGGCGGACGGGUGAGUAACGCGUGGGAACGUGCCCUUUGCUUCGGAAUAGCCCUGGGAAACUGGGAGUAAUACCGGAUGAGCCCUUUGGGGGAAAGAUUUAUCGGCGAAGGAUCGGCCCGCGUUGGAUUAGGUAGUUGGUGGGGUAAUGGCCUACCAAGCCGACGAUCCAUAGCUGGUUUGAGAGGAUGAUCAGCCACACUGGGACUGAGACACGGCCCAGACUCCUACGGGAGGCAGCAGUGGGGAAUCUUAGACAAUGGGGGCAACCCUGAUCGAGCCAUGCCGCGUGAGUGAUGAAGGCCUUAGGGUUGUAAAGCUCUUUCAGCUGGGAAGAUAAUGACGGUACCAGCAGAAGAAGCCCCGGCUAACUCCGUG